CAAUAGCGUAUAUUUAAGUUGUUGCAGUUAAAAAGCUCGUAGUUGGAUUUCGGAUGGGACUUGCCGGUCCGUCGUUUCGAUGUGCACUGGCCAGUCCUAUCCUGUUGUCGGGGACUAGCUCCUGGGCUUCACUGUCCGGGACUAGGAGCUGACGAGGUUACUUUGAGUAAAUUAGAGUGUUCAAAGCAAGCCUACGCUCUGAAUACAUUAGCAUGGAAUAACACGAUAGGACUCUGGCUUAUCUUGUUGGUCUGUGAGACCAGAGUAAUGAUUAAGAGGGACAGUCGGGGGCAUUCGUAUUUCAUUGUCAGAGGUGAAAUUCUUGGAUUUAUGAAAGACGAACUUCUGCGAAAGCAUUUGUCAAGGAUGUUUUCAUUAA
rnacentral:rRNA from 1 species